rnacentral:lncRNA from 1 species
GUGACGGAGAUGACAGACCCAAACGGCGUAGAGGGAUUAGGGCUCGUCCCUUUCUCCCUCGAGCGUGUGUAUUCAGAGGGAAAUUUGGGUUUCAUCCAUUCUUGCAGGCGUAAAUACGUGAGAGAGAGUGAUUUGGGGAGAGAGAGACUUGAGGGCAACGUCGACGAGCCUCCUCGGAUAUCGAGAAACGGCGGCGCCUAAGCCAUGGCGGCGAUUUCACCUGAACAGGAAAGGAGGAUUUAGGGCACAGACGCGGCGGAGCGUGGUGUCGCC